GCGGCGGGCGCACUGCUCGCACGCUCGCCCUGGGGCUGCAGAUCGGCUUGCGGGACGGGGUCCCAGAGAGGCCGGUCCACGCGGCCCGCACGCGCGAGUGUUAGCUCUGCACACGACGGAAGGCGGAGGCGCGGGUGGCUGCCGUUUCACCUUAGAGGGAGGGAGGGAAACGUGUCCUGAUUUCUGCACCUAAGGUGCUGGAAACCUUACCCUUGCACUUCCACCGUUUCUUUCCUUGUCCUGAAAAGGUCUCUUUUACCCGCUUCACUUCGCUAUCUACACAGUUUGCACUUGCACUGACUCAGAUCUUGUCCUGUCUGGUAAGCUGUGACCCUCAGCCAGCCUGGGUAGCUGCCCUUGAACCAGAGGUUGGGGUCUGGCAGUUUCUAUAGGCGUCCUCAGGCUCGGUCUGCAAGGGGCUUGCCUCUUUCUUCUGGGGUCUUCUCGCCCCCAUGCCUUCUCAGUUGUGGUGAUUAUACCAGAAGGAACGUGGGAGAAGUAUAAU
rnacentral:lncRNA from 1 species